UACGGGGGGGGCAAGCGUUGUUCGGAAUUACUGGGCGUAAAGGGCUCGUAGGCGGCCAACUAAGUCGGACGUGAAAUCCCCAGGCUCAACCUGGGAACUGCGUCCGAUACUGGAUGGCUUGAAUCCGGGAGAGGGAUGCAGAAUUCCAGGUGUAGCGGUGAAAUGCGUAGAUAUCUGGAGGAAUACCGGUGGCGAAGGCGGCAAACUGGGCAUCAACUGACGCUGAGGCGCGAAAGCGUGGGUAGCAAACAGG
rnacentral:rRNA from 1 species